CCUCCACCUUAGUGUUGUUCUGUUAGAAACGGACUGCAGCCGUGUUUCCUGAACUCUGCAAAUUUGUUUUAAACAGACAGAUACUUUGUUACUUCGUUUGAUGUAACCAAGCUGAACCAGCAUGAAGCAGUCGGUCGAUGACCUCAGAGCAUUCAGACAUCAGCUGUCAGAUGGAAGAAGUUCAGAGACGGGAUUUACCAGCGCUGAUCCCUCUGUGAUGAAGAGGAAAUCCAAUCCAGUGGAGUAGAAAAGGCCAUUUAAAAUAAUGGUUCUGUUCACCACAGAGCAGGGGUUUAUCAACGCCAUGCCUGGUUGUUGGCCAAAGAACCAGUUUGUUCUAGGACUCCUGAAACAGGAAAAACGCUACAGUUUUAGAAUUAAUGUGGUGAUCGGACCCAACCACAGGAACCAGGCAUGAGAUGACAGGAUCAUGAUGCCAAGACAGUGUUCUGUCCACAAAACUGUGCACAGGACUCAGUCUGGCUCCAGUUUGAGCUCUGUGGAUUUAAAGGGUAACCUCCAUGUGGUACCAGCCACAAAGUCUCUCUACCUUUUAAAACAGCGUCCAGAAAACAGUUUCUUCAAUCCUUCAACUACCUUCUUCUUGCUUGUUGCGUGUCCACCCUCCAACAUCAACCGCUUCAUCAUAAAUUCCUUCCCGGAAAACAAGAUCAGUCUUUCUCAACCAAAGCCACCAAACACCACAGCCUGUCAACCUCAGUCACUGUGGAUAGGUCACCUCGCCUGAGUAACUUUCAUCCAUCCACAGAAGUAAGACAGUAAGACAUCUGCCAGGAGUGGAGGGCA